AAUGUUUUACAAAAGAGACCAAUCAUGCUAAAAACUUGCAAGUAUCAGUCAAUAAAGAAUUAACAUAUAGUACAAAGAAAUGGAUUGAGAACGGUCGACAUUUCUUGCAGUAGUAAUCUGGCCAUACUUUGAGAUUGGAUGGUAAUGAUUUUAAGUUGUAUUGUAAUCUCCUGCCCCAACAGUUACUCUCAUACACAUAACUGCAUUAAGGAUGAGAAGAAAAAAAAAGCAGAGUUAGAUUCAAUGAU
rnacentral:lncRNA from 1 species